GUCCCGGGGCGCGGGGUCGGGGUCCGGGGGUGCAGCUGUGGCUCGGGGUCGGGGGCGCUGCUGGGCGCGGGGGCGCGGCUGGGCUCAGGUCCCGGGGCGCGGGGGGCGCGGCUGAGCCUUGGGGGUCCGAGGGGCGGGGUCCGGGGUCCGGGGGCGCGGCUGGGCUCGGGGUCGGGCCCCGCGGGCCUUGUCCCCUCCCUGCGGGCGGACCCGCUGCGGCUCAGACUCUCCGCGCGACGAGAACGCUCCAGGUGGUAAGGACCCGAAAGGCCCAUUCGGAUAGGGAAGCGCAGUAGGUCUUCAUCAGGAGUUGAGCAGCUGAAAGUUCUCGAGUGGGAGAUGAACUGCUUCCAGCUGCACACACAGACACGGCCCAGAGGAGGGCUUCCGGCGUCCGGAUCCGGCUUGCCCGGUCGUUUGCAGGCUCAGACAGACAGGUUCCCGUCGGUGGACAGACGGCUACGGUGUGUGAAUUGCAUAUUUAUUUGUUGUCCGAAGACAAAGCUUCCUGGAUGCAAAAGGGAUAGACCGUCCCCAGAGUUGGCUGAGCGCAGAGAGAAAUCCUUGACAACUGCAGAAAUGCCAACCGGCCUGGCACCAGGCACGAAGGAUGCACGCACGUCUCCUCUUCCCUGGUCCUCCCAGAAGCAAGUUCCCUUGGCUGACAACCCAGGGCACAACUCCUGCUUCCGUGAGUGCCUAAUACAAGAGUUGAAGCUCCCGGAGCCUUCUUUGAAAAAUGCCAUGCCUAAUGUUCUACUACAGAUGUUUGCCUUGAGUCAAAUAUGGAGCUUAUGUAAAAUUAUAUGUGGUUGGUGGUGAGUAUUGCUUUUAUGAGAUAAAGAAUCAUUUCACAUUAUUCUCAUUUUACUUUAAUGCUUGGGGUCAUUUAAACUGAGCAAUAGCACUUGACUCUGAAGAAACAGUGGUAGAAAUGCAAAUAAAUGCCCCCAAAAUAGAAUAUUUUGACCUCAAGAAAUUAAUCUAAGAGUAGAAAAUUAUAUUCAGAAUCAAACAUUUCCUCAAGCAAUUGUAUUAUCAUAAUGUCUUAUAUAAUUUCAAACUUACUUUUACUUUGAAAUGGACUGUACAGUAGUAUUUCUUAAAUAUACAUUUAGUGUAGCACAUGAUUUAGAAAUUUUUUAAUUUUUAAAACAGCAAGAGUCUUGAACAAUUGGCAAUGGAAACCAAUGGUAAGUUUUUUUAACCACAGUAACACCAAUUACUUUAAGAAAUUCAGUGAAAAGAGGUGCCUGGGUAGGUCAGCCAGUUAAGCAUCUGACUCUUGAUUUUAGCUCAGGUCGUGAUCUUAAGGUUGUGGGAUCAAGCUCCAGUUAGGCUCUGUACUCAGUGUAGUCUGCUUGUCCCUCUACCUCAGCUCCUCUCCCACCACUCGCUAUGUCCCUCUCUCUUUUUC
rnacentral:lncRNA from 1 species